GGGGGAUAUUGCACAAUGGACGGAAGUCUGAUGCAGCGACGCCGCGUGGGGGAUGAAGGCUUUCGGGUUGUAAACCUCUUUUAUUCCUGAACAAGGCUUGGAUUGUUGUCUGGGUUGAGGGUAGGGGGUGAAUAAGCGCCGGCUAACUACGUGCCAGCAGCCGCGGUAAUACGUAGGGCGCGAGCGUUGUCCGGAUUUAUUGGGCGUAAAGAGCUCGUAGGCGGUUUGUUGCGUCUGCUGUGAAAACGCGGGGCUUAACUUCGCGCGUGCAGUGGGUACGGGCAGGCUAGAGUACGGUAGAGGGUGGUGGAAUUUCCUGUGUAGCGGUGAAAUGCGUAGAUAUAGGAAGGAACACCAGUGGCGAAGGCGACCACCUGGACUGAUACUGACACUGAGGUGCGAAAGCGUGGGGAGCAAACA
rnacentral:rRNA from 1 species